rnacentral:rRNA from 1 species
GAUGAACGCUGGCGGCGUGCCUAAUACAUGCAAGUAGAACGCUGAAGGAAGGAGCUUGCUCUUUCCGGAUGAGUUGCGAACGGGUGAGUAACGCGUAGGUAACCUGCCUGGUAGCGGGGGAUAACUAUUGGAAACGAUAGCUAAUACCGCAUAACAGUAGAUAUUGCAUGAUAUCUGCUUGAAAGGUGCAAUUGCAUCACUACCAGAUGGACCUGCGUUGUAUUAGCUAGUUGGUGAGGUAACGGCUCACCAAGGCGACGAUACAUAGCCGACCUGAGAGGGUGAUCGGCCACACUGGGACUGAGACACGGCCCAGACUCCUACGGGAGGCAGCAGUAGGGAAUCUUCGGCAAUGGACGGAAGUCUGACCGAGCAACGCCGCGUGAGUGAAGAAGGUUUUCGGAUCGUAAAGCUCUGUUGUAAGAGAAGAACGAGUGUGAGAGUGGAAAGUUCACACUGUGACGGUAUCUACCAGAA